UGCCUAUAUAUGGCAAGAGAUAACAAUAAAAUGUUAUGGAUUGGUAUCACAGAGGUUAUUGCCAUGAUGAAUUGAUAGGAUAGCGAAGAUGAGAGGAAGAAACUGAUAGCGGGCUAGAAUUGUAGAUUGGCCCAUGACGGUUAUCAGUGGAAAGAGUUAAAAGAGGCUUUUACCGAGCACCACACUUAUUAAGAUAUAGCUCUAUUUCUAUAUUCCGGUCUCUAAUUCAGAAUAGGUGGUAAUUUAUAAUAGGUGGAUGUGCAUAUAAAUUAUUUUAGAUAAAAGACUGAAGUUAGUUUUUGAUUUGACAACAAAGAAAUUAUUUAUAAACUUUUGUAUAUGAAAAAAAAUGUUAAUUGAAGAUAUUGAAUGGUAUAUCCUACAUAGGUAGGUACAUGCAUUUAGUUUCAUAUCAUUGUUAUAUUGGAAAUUAUCAAUCUGGAUACUUAGAGAGAAGCACAUACAAACAAUAAUGAAUGAAUGAAAUUACACACAGUAUAAAUUCGAAAUUUGAAUUGACACAGGUAGUUUCACAUCUAUUUCAUAACAUUUAUUUAAAGGUCAUGCAUCUCAACAAUCCAAUUCAUUAGCUCAUAUAAUUCAUUCUGAAGCCUGAAUUUUGUAUAUGAGCAAGGUUUAUAUAAUUUAAAAAUGAAAAACAGAUGUGCAGAAUUUUUGGAAAUUGUCCACGCUUACCUCACGCUUCGCAUACAAAUCAAGGAAGUUUACAUUAAUGAUAUUAAUAUUUCAAAAUGUAAAAGAGACUUGUACUAUUAAUGGUGUCACAAUUAUUUUACAUCAAUUUACCAAAGAAUUAAGUUUGAAAAUAUAAGUAACAAUUUCAAAGCAUCAUUAUUAUCAUUCAUGGAACAUGAUGCAUGGUCGCAUUGUGGAUACUGACAUUGCAUAUUAAAAUGAAAGGGUUAAGAUCUCCUUGUAGGUAUCUAAAAGAAAGUGAAUAAGUUCACUAUAUUUGGAAUUCUUGAAUAUCUACUUCAUACCUUCGAAUUGUUGACAAGUGGUAUUUAUAUUUAAACCUUAUUGCACAAAAUAGGUAUACACCAGUGUUCAAAUUUGUUUUUCUAAAUUUAUAAAUUUAAUGCAGGUCUUGUCUAAUGACUCUAGUGAAAGCGUUUGUUGCACGGGAUUGGCUAAACAAGAACAGAUUACUUUUCGGUGUUGACACAAUAUUUAUUGUCUAAUAAUAUUGCAUAGUAUUCAGUUAUAUUUUUAAAAUUUGACUAGGUAUGCGAAGUUGAAAUACUGGUGAUGCCUAAUUAAGUUAAUCAAAUGGACGGAUCCUAGAGGUCAUAAAUUGUGGAAUUUGGGUUACUAAGAGGUGGGUAAUGGUCAGGAAUAGUGUCGGUCGAAUGCAAAAGCAGAUUACUUGUGUAUACAUUAUCAAUUAUAAGAGGGUCCAUUUAUAAAAUUAAAAUGUUGGCAAGAGCAGUGCCUGUUCGAAAAGACAAGACUUAAAGAAUUCUCAUUGAAAAUUGACUUAAAGAGUAAGGUCGAUGAGUGGGUACAAAUAAUGUCACAAGUUUUAGUGCAGGGUUUUAGUAUGGUUUUGUGCAAAAGUCUGUGACUGACUUAAACAAAAGACUCAACACCAGAGUAAGUUGAAUGAACGAAUCUAAAAGUAUAUAACAUUCAAAUUUAAAGAAGCCUUAUAAAGUAGGCUGUGUAGAAGUAACUUGGAGUUAAUUUUUAUUUUACAUUUCUUUUCAAUUCAUUAAACUUUGAAAGUAUCCUUAAAUUUGGUUUAUUGUUAGGUUUAACACAUGGUACAUUUAUGAUUUUAUGACGAAGACACAGUGAUGACAAGAGAAAUAGGUUGGUGAUAUUAACCAUGUGAACCAUGAUUCAUAAACACAACAUUUAUGGUUGCAGUUUUACAGCCAUAGCCAUUGGCUCUAACUAUUAAAAAAAAGGUGUAUAAAUAUAUUGGAAUUUAAUUACUUCCAAUAGUUUCAAUAAUAUAGUAGGUGGGGUAAUGACGCUAGUAUUUGCUACGGUGUACUCGGUGUAGUAUACGCUUGUACCUAUUUGGAGCCUUUUCUUUUCGGGUGCAUGUGACCCCGAGGUUUAGUGUUGCGUUUUUUACCAUCCCUGUGGCUGAAUAUUACUAUGGUGAUAUGUUGCACGAAGUUUAGGACGAAACAUCAGGACCAUCAGGUUAUUGAAUAAAUAUCUGUUUAUAUAAAUUCAACAAAAUAAAACAUGAUUUAAAUGUAAUCUUCUCAAAGUUGAUAAAUUGAUGAAUAUUUAUUAUUUUAUUUUAUUAAUGUUGAGGAUUUUUGAUGAAGAUAAUGAUUGAUAUCCAAGACGACAUUGACGUCUAAUUACAAUUUUAGUAACGAUGAGUAGGUGUCUAAUACAAAUACUUUAUUUAUAACGCUAAGGAAGAUCUUAGGUAACAGAGGUCCGAUAAUGAUGAUGAUGUAGGUAUAUGACUGAACAUGUCUACUAGUUAAGUAAGUGUCGAUGUCGGCGACAAUGUUUGCUCCAUGACUAUGACAGGGUCAAUAACUGGCCAUAUCGAUGAUAAAAACGGAGCUGGAUGAUUUCGAUGACAAUGUCGGCGAUAAAGCUUGACUGACCACUUUGAUGACGAUAUAUAGAUGACGUUUAUAGUAAGAUUAAUUGAUGAUGGUAAUGAUUGACUGAUUCGAUGUAUAUAAUCAAUGAUUAAAUUGUUGACGAGGACUGAGACUAAAAUGAUCGUUGCUACUGCCAAUAAUUAUAACAUUUGUUUUUAUUUUUUUAUGUUACAACGCUGGUAACCUGGCUGAAUGGAUGAAGUUGAUAAUGAGCGAGGGCUUCGCAGCAAGAGCUGACUGAAGUAAAGGAGGUUAAACUGUUAAGACGGUGCUGCCAGCAGUGGGCAGGGCCCAAGCUGCCGAUGGACAGGGCCACAGAGCGAGGAACCGACAUACAUACGUGCCGUGUCCAAGAUUACUGCCUUCUGCAUCUGAUCCUUGAUCCAGCGACCAGCGAGAGUAUCUACAGGUGUUGUUUUGGACUCUUAGCUGACAAGAUUGCUAUUAUAUUAAUAUUAUGAAUCUAGAAUAUAACUGUUGAGUUUUGGCAGACUGUCUAGUGCAGGCCGUAAUGGCAGACUGUCUAGAGCAGGCCAUGACUGUUUAUUAUGUUAGUUUAUGCUUUGGCAAAGUUAGGUUCUUGUAAUAUGGGCCUUGUUGUUUGAUCCAAAUAAAUAUAUAUACAUAUUAGUUUAUACUUUGACAAACUGUCCAGCGCGGGCCUUGAAGGCAGACUGUCUGGGGCAGGUCGUGAUUGUUUAUGAUGAUUUAUACUUAGGCAGACUGUCUAGAACAGGCUUUGAUAGUAGCCUGUCUUCUAGAGCAGGCCAUAACAAAUUAAUUAAAAUAAUUAAUUAGGUAUGAAUGUGCAGACUGUCUAGAGCAAGCUUUGAUAACAGCCUGUCUUCUAGAGCAGGCCAAAACAAAUUAAUUCAAAUAAUUAAUUAGGUAUGAAUGUGCAGACUGUCUAGAGCAAGCUUUGAUAACAGCCUGUCUUCUAGAGCAGGCCAAAACAAAUUAAUUCAAAUAAUUAAUUAGGUAUGAAUGUGCAGACUGUCUAGAGCAAGCUUUGAUAACAGCCUGUCUUCUAGAGCAGGCCAAAACAAAUUAAUUCAAAUAAUUAAUUAGGUAUGAAUGUGCAGACUGUCUAGAACAGGCUUUGAUAGCAGACUGUCUUCUAGAGCAGGCCGUGAUGGCAGACUGUCUAGACAACUCAAGUCUAUACUUUGGAAUGAUAUCUAGAGCAGGCCUUAAGGGCAGACUGUGAAUGUUUAUGAUGAAUUAUACUUUGUCAAACUAUAGAGUAAGCCUAAAUGGCAGACUGUGAUUGUUUAUGAUAAAUUAUACUUUGCCAAACUAUUUAGAGCAGGCCUAAAUGGCAGACUGAUUGUUUUGAUGAAUUAUGUUUUGCAAAUCAUUUAAAGCAGGUCUUAAUACUGUGAUUGUUUAUGAUGAAUUAUGUUUUGCCAAACUAUUUAGAGCAGGCCUAAAUGGCAGACUGAUUGUUUUGAUGAAUUAUGUUUUGCAAAUCAUUUAAAGCAGGUCUUAAUACUGUGAUUGUUUAUGAUGAAUUAUGUUUUGCCAAACUAUUUAGAGCAGGCCUAAAUGGCAGACUGAUUGUUUUGAUGAAUUAUGUUUUGCAAAUUAUUUAAAGCAGGUCUUAAUACUGUGAUUGUUUAUGAUGAAUUAUGUUUUGCCAAACUAUUUAGAGCAGGCCUAAAUGGCAGACUGAUUGUUUUGAUGAAUUAUGUUUUGCAAAUCAUUUAAAGCAGGUCUUAAUACUGUGAUUGUUUAUGAUGAAUUAUGUUUUGCUAAACUAUUUAGAGCAGGCCUUAUAAGGGUAGACUGUCAUUGUUUAUGACGUUUUAUACUUUGCUAUACUGUUUAGAGCAGGCCUUGAGGGCAGAUUGUGAAUGUUAAUGUUGGCUUAUACUUUGGCAGAUAUCUAGACCAGACCAAGACUGUAAGUUAGUUCAUAUGUAUUGAAAGUUUAUUGAAAGAAGGCUAUUAAUGCUAUCAGGUGCUGGUUGUAUUAAAUUACUGUUUAGUGUUUAUAUGAUCUCAGGUUAUAGCAUGUGAAGAUUGUGAAGUGUGAAGACUGAUUUCUCAAUAAGGUUAAUAUAUGCAACUAGUCAUUGGUUGUGUGAUUGACUAAUAAAAGUCUAUAGUCAGAAGUUUACAAAAACUGUUCUUAUGAAUGUUUGUUUGAUAUCGAUAAAAUUGUUAUGAUAUAUUGCUGUUGUUAUUAAUGUACAAUUGUUUUUAGUGAGAGGACUCACUAUAAAUAAAAGGACGGCCGAGUUGUAAGCAUCACAAUAGUUGAUAUCCUGUAUGUUACUUUAUACUGAUAAUAAUCACAUGUAGUAUGCACCUGACUUUAUACUUUUUGGUUAUUGUAUCUAUGGUCAUGUUUGUUGAGGGAGAACUGUCAGAUUUUGGCGGCGGUUCAUUGCCCGAGGUUAUGUUGGAUUUGUUCUUUGUAAUCUUAUAAUUAAUCCUGUAUGUCGCUGUAAUAAAAGAAAUAUUACUGGAA